AACCUCCGCAAUGUGAGAAAUCGCGACGGGGGGAUCCCAAGUGCCAUUCUUAACGGGAUGGCUUUUCAUUAGUGUAAAGAGCUUUUGGAAUAAGAGCUGGGCAAGACCGGUGCCAGCCGCCGCGGUAACACCGGCAGCUCUAGUGGUAGCAAUUUUUAUUGGGCCUAAAGCGUCCGUAGCCGGUUUAAUAAGUCUCUGGUGAAAUCCUGUAGCUUAACUGUGGGAAUUGCUGGAGAUACUAUUAGACUUGAGACCGGGAGAGGUUAGAGGUACUCCCAGGGUAGAGGUGAAAUUCUGUAAUCCUGGGAGGACCGCCUGUUGCGAAGGCGUCUAACUGGAACGGUUCUGACGGUGAGGGACGAAAGUUAGGGCGCGAACCGGAUUAGAUACCCGGGUAGUCCUAACUGUAAACGAUGCGGACUUGGUGUUGGGGUGGCUUUGAGCUGCUCCAGUGCCGAAGGGAAGCUGUUAAGUCCGCCGCCUGGGAAGUACGGUCGCAAGACUGAAACUUAAAGGAAUU
rnacentral:rRNA from 1 species